rnacentral:sRNA from 1 species
CCAAUAGCGUAUAUUAAAGUUGUUGCAGUUAAAAAGCUCGUAGUUGAAUUUCGGGAUCAAUUUAUUGGUCGUGCUAUUGUACGUACUGGUAUUAUUGAUUCCUACCUUCUGACGAACCAUGAUGUCAUUAAUUUGGUGUCAUGGGGAAUCAGGACUGUUACUUUGAAAAAAUUAGAGUGUUUAAAGCAGGCUCACGCUUGAAUACAUUAGCAUGGAAUAACGAAAUAGGACGUUUGAUUCUAUUUUGUUGGUUUCUAGGAUCGACGUAAUGAUUAAUAGGGAUAGUUGGGGGCAUUAGUAUUCAAUUGUCAGAGGUGAAAUUCUUGGAUUUAUUGAAGACUAACUACUGCGAAAGCAUUUGCCAAGGAUGUUUUCAUUAAUCAAGAACGAAAGUUAGGGGAUCGAAGACGAUCAGAUACCGUCGUAGUCUUAACCAUAAACUAUGCCGACUAGGGAUCGGAUGAUGUUAAUUUUUUAAUGACUCAUUCGGCGCCUUACG